rnacentral:rRNA from 1 species
CCUACGGGAGGCAGCAGUGAGGAAUAUUGGUCAAUGGCCUGACGGCUGAACCAGCCAAGCCGCGUGAAGGACGACGUUGCCAAGCAUUGUAACCUUCUUUUGUCAAUGGACAACACCAGGCUCGAGAGCCUGACCGAGGGUACUCUAAGUAAAAGCCUCGGAUAACUCCGUUCCCGCAGCCCCGGUAAUACGGAGGAUGCGAGCGUUAUCCGGAUUUAGUUGGUUGAAAGGGUGCGUAGGCGGGCUGUUAAGUCAGCGGUAAAAGCCCGGGGCUCAACCCCGGCGAGCCGUUGAAACUGGCUGUCUUGAGAUGUCGAGAGGUAUGCGGAAUGCGCAGUGUAGCGGUGAAAUGCUUAGAUAUUGCGCAGAACUCCGAUUGCGAAGGCAGCAUACCGGCGGCGAUCUGACGCUGAGGCACGAAAGCGUGGGUAUCGAACAGGAUUAGAUACCCCUGUAGUC